AUGGAGGUUGAUCACCACAUCAGGGUGAGUGACGGCGAGACGACGGCCGGACGAGGAGGCGUUGUCGGCGUCUUCUUCGCGAGCUGCUGGCUGCGGCUCCGCUCGGUGCUCGUCGGGCUUUGUUGCUGGGUCUCCGGGUUCGCCAGGAAGGUGGGCAGGAUCGCCAGAGAGGAUCCAAGGAGGGUGGCGCACUCGCUCAAGGUCGGCCUGGCGCUCACCCUCGUGUCCGUCUUCUACUACGUGACGCCGCUGUUCAAGGGCUUCGGGGUCUCCACGCUCUGGGCCGUGCUCACCGUCGUCGUCGUCAUGGAGUACACCGUCGGUGGCACGCUGAGCAAAGGCUUGAAUAGAGCCUUCGCGACGCUGGUGGCUGGGUUCAUCGCCGUGGGAGCUCAUCAGGUAGCUAACCGCUGUGGUGCACAGGGGGAGCCCAUACUGCUCGCCAUCUUCGUCUUCUUGCUAGCGUCGGCGGCAACGUUCUCGCGCUUCAUCCCAGAGAUCAAGGCGAGGUACGACUACGGCGUGACCAUCUUCAUACUCACCUUCAGCCUGGUGGCCGUGUCGAGCUACCGCGUGGAGGAGCUCAUUCAGCUGGCGCACCAGCGCUUCUCCACCAUCGUCAUCGGCGUCCUUACCUGCCUCUGCACCACCAUCUUCGUCUUCCCCGUCUGGGCCGGCGAGGAUCUUCACAAGCUCACCGCCGGCAACCUCGACAAGCUGGCACAGUUUCUUCAAGGAUUGGAAUCUGAAUGCUUUGGAGAAAAGCCUGCCAGCGAGAAUUUGGAGGGCAAAGCCUUUCUGCAAGUGUACAAGAGCGUCCUCAACUCCAAGGCCAGUGAGGACUCCCUGUGCAAUUUUGCCAAGUGGGAGCCCGGUCAUGGCAAAUUCGGCUUCCGGCACCCAUGGAGCCAAUACCAGAAGCUCGGAGCUCUUUGUCGUCAGUGCGCGUCUUCAAUGGAGGCUCUUGCUUCCUAUGUCAUCACACUGCAAAAAUCCCAGUACCCUGAGGCCAAUCCGGAGCUAACCUUUAAGGUCCGAACGGCGUGCGGGGAAAUGAGCUCGCACUCUGCUAAGGCGCUCAAGGAGCUAUCAACAGCCAUUCGGACAAUGAUCGUACCAUCUCCAGCCAACAUCACCAUGUCCGCAGCCAUCAAAGCUGCAAAAGACCUCAGAAAUGAAUUAUCAGAGGAAGCAGCUCUGUUGCAAGUGAUGCAUGUGGCUGUUACUGCGACACUUCUCUCAGACUUGGUUACGACAAUAGUGAAAAUUGCAGAAACCGCUGAUAAUCUAGCACGGCUUGGCCACUUCAAGAACCCUGAAAAAACUCAGAAAGAUGUCGCUAUCAACAUUCCGAGCAGAUAA
rnacentral:rRNA from 1 species